CUCAGUAACAUGUAGUCAACCUGCCCUGGAGACAUGGACAACCCCGGGAAACUGGGAUUAAUCCGUGAUAGGUCAUCCCAUCUGGAAAGGAGGGAUGGCUUAAAGGGGCGCGCGGGCUUCUUCUGCGCGUUCGCUCCAGGAUGGGACUGCGUCCGAUCAGGCUGUUGGCGGGGUAAUGGCCCACCAAACCUGUAACCGGUACGGGCCUUGAGAGAGGUGGCCCGGAGAUGGACACUGAGAGAAGGGUCCAGGUCCUACGGGGCGCAGCAGGCGCGAAACCUUCGCAAUGCGCGAAAGCGUGACGAGGUUAAUCCGAGUGGUCCCCGCUGAGGGGACCUUUUGUCAGCUGUAAAUAGGCGGGCGAAUAAGGGGAGGGCAAGCCUGGUGUCAGCCGCCGCGGUAAUACCAGCUCCUCGAGUGGUCGGGGCGAUUAUUGGGCCUAAAGCAUCCGUAGCCGGUUCCGUAGGUCCUCUGUUAAAUCCAACCGCUCAACGGUUGACCUGCAGAGGAUACCGCGGGACUAGGAGGCGGGAGAGGCGGACGGUACUCCGCGUGUAGGGGUAAAAUCCUUUGAUCCGCGGAAGA
rnacentral:rRNA from 1 species